rnacentral:rRNA from 1 species
GACGAACGCUGGCGGCGUGCUUAACACAUGCAAGUCGAGCGGUAAGGCCCUUUCGGGGGGUACACGAGCGGCGAACGGGUGAGUAACACGUGGGUGACCUGCCCUUAGCUCUGGGAUAAGCCUGGGAAACUGGGUCUAAUACCGGAUAUGACUCCAUAACGCAUGUUGUGGGGUGGAAAGCCUUGUGCGGCUAGGGAUGGGCCCGCGGCCUAUCAGCUUGUUGGUGGGGUGAUGGCCACCAAGGCGACGACGGGUAGCCGGCCUGAGAGGGCGACCGGCCACACUGGGACUGAGACACGGCCCAGACUCCUACGGGAGGCAGCAGUGGGGAAUCUUGCGCAAUGGGCGAAGCCUGACGCAGCGACGCCGCGUGGGGAUGAC